rnacentral:rRNA from 1 species
UAAGGAAUCUUCGGCAAUGGACGGAAGUCUGACCGAGCAACGCCGCGUGAGUGAAGAAGGUUUUCGGAUCGUAAAGCUCUGUUGUAAGAGAAGAACGAGUGUGAGAGUGGAAAGUUCACACUGUGACGGUAUCUUACCAGAAAGGGACGGCUAACUACGUGCCAGCAGCCGCGGUAAUACGUAGGUCCCGAGCGUUGUCCGGAUUUAUUGGGCGUAAAGCGAGCGCAGGCGGUUAGAUAAGUCUGAAGUUAAAGGCUGUGGCUUAACCAUAGUAGGCUUUGGAAACUGUUUAACUUGAGUGCAAGAGGGGAGAGUGGAAUUCCAUGUGUAGCGGUGAAAUGCGUAGAUAUAUGGAGGAACACCGGUGGCGAAAGCGGCUCUCUGGCUUGUAACUGACGCUGAGGCUCGAAAGCGUGGGGAGCAAACAGGAUUAGAUACCCUGGUAGUCCACGCUGUAAACGAUGAGUGCUAGGUGUUAGACCCUUUCCGGGGUUUAGUGCCGUAGCUAACGCAUUAAGCACUCCGCCUGGGGAGUACGACCGCAAAGUUG